AGAUGCAGGCACUAUCUCUUUUCGAAAAUCUUUGGAUUCAACCAACCUCCAAGCUCAAGAAACCCUUCAAUUCCAGGCUUAGAGAGGCAGAAGAUAAUUUAGUAAAAGCACUUGCAGGUUGAGGAAGGU